UCUGGAGCUCUCAGCAGGAGCUUCUCUCAUUCACUGGCUGGGACUGGGAAAUGAUCUUGUCACCAAUUAAAACAGGAGCUGAAUUCCCACAGAGCCUGUCCGUCCCCCCAGCAUGCAGGCAGAGCCUCUGCAAGAAGGCUGCUGAGGGAAUACAGAAGAUACAUGGAGAGGGAAUGGAGAUGAGCAAGGAGCCAAGAGGAACUGGAGAGGUGUCAGAGGACCAAAAGGACAUAGAUGGAAAGCAGGAGAUGGAGAGGAGACAGGAGGGCUUGGUGUAGUCAAAUGUAGGGAAAUAUUUCCCUACAAGUUAUUUUUCACUUUACAUUCGUCUACCAAGGGGCAACUUCACUAUAGGCACAAAAUAUGGCAGAUGCAUAGUGUGAUAUCAUUUAAAGUUGUCUGGGUAAAACUAACAUAAUUGUGGCAUCUUAAUAUUGAAUGAGGACCCAGCUCUAGUACGUUUAUUGACUGUUUAACUACCCUCAUGUGAACAAAAAUGGGUACGCUCUUCCCACCAGUCUGUGAUCCAUUUCCACGCACUAUUAAAAAUGUAAAGCCUAUUUACGUGUCCUACUUAAUUAUAUGCAUGUGUGUUGUGGAGACUACAGCUGAAUGAAAACUUAAAAAAUAUUUUAAUAUUUGUUCCAAUAAAAAUUACAUUUGUUUUGUUAUGUUUACCCCCUUAUGUGUUAACUUUCUGCAAAUAUUGUAGCGAAUAAAUUUACUAGCAAGAAUAUUUGUUGAAGCAGUAAAUUUGAAGUCAAUAUUAAAAAUAUGCAUUGAAAAUGAAUUUUGAAUGAGUGUGAGGAUUUGCACCAGAAACUUGAAUCGAAAGGUUAUGCUUGUCCAGUCAGGGAACAGAAACAACAACAUGUAAUUAUAUGUAUCCAAUCAAGACCAAUCAAGGCUAUGUCUACACUACAGACCUUACGGCGGCACAGCUUACCGCUGCAGCAGCACCACUGUAAGGUUUCCUGUGUAGCUGCUCUGUGCCAAUGGGAGAGAGCUCUUUCGCCAGCCUAAUUAAGUCACCCCCAAUGAGCGGUGGUAGCUAUGUCAGUAGCAGAGUAUCUCCCGCUGAUAUAGCAUUGUGGACACCUGCGCUUUUGUUGAUGAAACUGACAUCAGUCAGGGGGCAGUGUUUUUCACAUGGUAUAGACAUAGCCCAAGAUAGCUUGAGUUUUGAAUAUGAAAUAUAAUAGUCACAAUGAAAUGCUCAGCAACAAUCUACAGCCCUUUGAAGCAUUUGUCUAAAUUAUUUGGUAAAUAACAAAUUCAAGAAAAUUACAAACUGCUUGUAUGCAUUUCACAAACUAAAAAGGAGGUUAAAAUUUUCAGAUACAUUAUUUGCUAAACAUUAUUUACCUGGCUUUAGUUCAAAUGAUCUAGAAUCUAUGGUACAGUUUGUGUUUUACAUCAUGGAUUUAAUAUAAUUACUUAAAAUAUGUUUUCCUGUUUAAAAUCCUUACUUAUAAACAUUUCAUCUAAUAAGUCUGUGUUCCUUAACUUUCACUUUUAUUUGAUCUUAAUAGAUAUUGAUUUUGCCAUAUGUUCCACGGAGUAUACAGUACAACUAGAACUGAGCCUAAGAGCUACAUGUUUCUGACCUCAAUCUAAACCAGCAGUUAUAUACAAAAGCAGACAGAUUUGUUACAACAUUGUGUCCUUUUUGUCUUGAUUAUGUGGAGACAGAUUAAUUCUUUCACACACACACACACAAAAAGCAUUAUUGCUUUUUUUGUUUGUUUUCUUAUAAAACUGCCUUUUUUAUAAAGUUAAGUUAGCAACUAUAAAUUUGAUAGGAGUACAGUGUAAAUAUUUUUAGAAAUGAAAAUGUUUUAAAAUGUAUAUUAAUUAUAAAACAUUAAACAACUCUGGAAAAA